GACCUAAUAGCACAAUGGUAGUGUGUCUGCUGUAUGUAGCUCAUAACUGCUGAUUACGCAGGAGAUCCCGGUUCGACUCCGGGUUAGGUCG